CCCCUGGUAGCACAAGUGGUAGUGCGUCUGUUGAAGGUGAUCUAGUUAGUCCCUCCUUGUAUUCGCAGAAGAUCCCGGUUCGACCCCAGGCCAGGUUA